GCCUAGCCCCGAUCGAAACGGCAUCCUUUUAUGGUGGGUUUCACCAUAAAAGAUAUAGUGUAGAGCGGGAAAAAUG
rfam:Flavobacterium hibernum strain DSM 12611 Contig02, whole genome shotgun sequence.